ACAGCUCCUAAGAAUUCUCUCACCUGCCUUCUGCCCUUAAGCUCCGGUAGAUUGCAAAUAACCUGCUUUCUUUCUGUUCCCGAGCUGCGUUCGGACCCAUGUCUUAUUGUAAAUCCCACGCAAGCUGCGUUCGGACCCGUCUGAUCGUAAAUCCCAUGUAAGGUACCUGCCGUCGGAAGAUUUGAACGUUCUACUUGGACACCUAAAACCCACAGUCCUCCAGGUACCUGCUGUCGGAAGAUUUGAACUUUCUACUUGGACAACUAACACCCACAGUCCUCCAGACAGAAAGACAACAGGUACAAAGCCCUAAGGAUUAUAAAGGUAUGCUGCUUACCAUCAUCUUAGUGACCAAGGCAGCGAAGCUGUUUCUGUACCUUGGAACAGUCUUCCCUGACAAGCCAGAGAACAGUGAUAAAGCCACCAGCCUUGGGAUCAGGACUGAAAAGGCAAGAGUGAUGGAGAUUUCUCCUGCGCUAAGCCAAGAGAAGGUUUCAGCACUUCAGACAGCUCCCACCGAAGUAGCCGCGCUCCCAGCUGCUUGCAGAUGUUGAAAAGGAAAGCCUCGGUUUGUCUUGAGGUUGUCAGCAGGUGCAAGACACGUAAUAAAAUGCAAUGUGUUCCUAAUUCAUUGCA
rnacentral:lncRNA from 1 species